AACUGCCUUGAAGAGGCUCCGGAGAGGGGUCCUAGCUUGUCUUUUCUGUCCUUCUCCUGUGCUGUGUGACAUUGGAUGAGUCCCCCUCCCCACUCUGGACCUACAAGUCUUGUCUAUAGGAGGCAGGCCUAGAGGAUAGGAACCAUCAAGACCUACUUUCUCCUCCCAGCUGCCGCCCUCCUCCCACCGGCUAUAUUCGGGUUUCUGCUCCGUCCUUGGUAACCUUGGGCACCACUUAGAGGAGCACUGCGCGUGUUUUUCUCUGCCAAGGAAUUCUGGAUACAAAGGAACCGCAGAGGUCAAGCAUCUGCUCGCAUCCAAACCCUUCCUCACACCUGAAAUCAAGAUCCCUUUUCCUGCAAGCCAAGCCCAAGGUGAUCCGGUCUCAGCUCCAAGCUUGCUGUCUACACAGCCGAUGUGGACACAUAGGGUAACUUUCACUAAGCCCAGCUUCUUCCAGAAAGACAGAGGCUGCUGGAGACUCACCAUGCUCCCUUGACAUGGAUUCCCUCAGAGUGCUCUGUCUGAGGCUAGUCUGCAAGAAGAGGGCCCCUCCUAUCUUCCUCGGGUAGCUUUUGCACCUGAUGUUCUCGGGAUGAGCAGGGCAGGGGACCAAGCAUCAUCCUUGGCUUGCAUCACAUCUGAUACUAAGAUACUUGUCCCUGCCCCUUCCGCUGCCGCUGUUCUGGGGAACAGUAGGAAUCUAGAAACAUCUUCCCUAUUUGGGCUGGAUAUUGGCUCCUGGGCUCUCCCUGUUCUGGAGCCCCAUUGCCCUCAGGUAGCACCUAGAGAAGUAAUGAAGACAGAUCUGCAAGACACUUGGCAGCAGCCAGCCCUCCCCAGCCUGAUGGCAUUCCCUGCCCUGUCCAGCAUCUGGUUCUGCACCCUGAGCAGUGUGCACUUCCUCUCCAGAAGGAAUAUCGACAGUCAACGAGUCCAGCCAGGAUGAUAGUUUUCAAGAGAUCCAGCAGACCUAAAGAUGGUGGCAGCUUGGCUCCGAGGAUAGUCCUGCACAGUGCUCUGACCCUUUGGCCUCCCACUCCUGUAUUCUUUCCACCCUUCCUUUCUGCAGGGGCCCGUGGUCCUUGGAGGGAGUGAUAAAGAGAUCUGACUGCUCUCC